UUCCCACAGCAGGUGGCCGAGAGCUGGAUCUACAGGAGUCUGAGACAACGAGAGGGAGUAGGGAGAAAAGGCAUACAGAGCUGAAAGGCUAACGCCUGAAAAUAUUUAUGUUGUUUGAUUUAUUUCGCUUUGUUAUUUUAGCUCAUUGCUUUUACCCAGAUCGCCGGAAAUCCGGAAUUAUCAAAUUUCCCUGUGUCCAGCUGUUCUGUCCCUCUCAGGGAUGUCAUGUGGAUUCCAUCCAGCCAACCAAACAGUGUAAAGGAAUUUUAGAAAGAAUUUCUAGAAACUUUUAUAAGAACAUUCUGGUGAAUGAAGAUUGAAGCGGGUAACACAACUUCUGCCUUCUUUCUCUAUCUCCAAUGGAUCGCCUGCCUUGUAACGACAAGUCUCCCUACAGGCAGCUGGGAAGAUGGGUUUGUUUGUAUUAUCAGUGCUCCUGAAGCCUUCAAUCAAUUCCAAAUGACCAACUCCAGAUGUUGUUGUACAACCCCAGACUUGCACUGAUCCUCAAUCAUCCUUGACUGAUGAUUGUAAAAAUGGAGAGAUAAGAUCCAUAGCAUUGAGUUGUCUUCGCACAGUGGAAAGACUGAGAGAAACACCUGUGGAUUCCAUUAGAUCCGAAGCAAGAGUGAGACUUGUUUUUUUUUUCUAUCUCACAAAGAUGCAAUCCAUUAGUACCAUCUUUGUGAUAGUGAUAGUUUUGAUGGUCUACCAGCCCUUGCAUGGUUGUUAGGAGUACAAUUUUCUCUGUCUCUUGCAAUAAUCUUUUGAAAUCUGUUUUUUGAGUGCCUGUUUUCUCUCUUACAGUGCUAUGAAAAAGUAUUUCCUGAUUUCCGCUAUUAUUGCAUAUUUGUCAAACUGAAUGGUUUCAGAUCUUUAGACAAAAU